GAUGAACGCUGGCGGCGUGCCUAAUACAUGCAAGUCGAGCGAACAGACGAGGAGCUUGCUCCUCUGACGUUAGCGGCGGACGGGUGAGUAACACGUGGAUAACCUACCUAUAAGACUGGGAUAACUUCGGGAAACCGGAGCUAAUACCGGAUAAUAUAUUGAACCGCAUGGUUCAAUAGUGAAAGACGGUUUUGCUGUCACUUAUAGAUGGAUCCGCGCCGCAUUAGCUAGUUGGUAAGGUAACGGCUUACCAAGGCAACGAUGCGUAGCCGACCUGAGAGGGUGAUCGGCCACACUGGAACUGAGACACGGUCCAGACUCCUACGGGAGGCAGCAGUAGGAAUCUUCCGCAAUGGGCGAAAGCCUGACGGAGCAACGCCGCGUGAGUGAUGAAGGUCUUCGGAUCGUAAAACUCUGUUAUUAGGGAAGAACAAAUGUGUAAGUAACUAUGCACGUCUUGACGGUACCUAAUCAGAAAGCCACGGCUAACUACGUG
rnacentral:rRNA from 1 species